rnacentral:rRNA from 1 species
UUAUAUGUAAACUAAUGCACGUAGUGGAUGCCUUGGCUUGUUUGGCCGAAGAAGGACGCGUACUCCGCGAAAGUCGUCGAGGAACUGAGUAACAGUUAUGAUCCGGCGGUGUCCGAAUAGGGUAACCUCGUCCCACUUUAUUGUGGGAUGGUCCCGGUGCUUGCACCGGGAGGGUAACCAGGGGAACUGAAAUAUCUAAGUAC